rnacentral:rRNA from 1 species
UACAGAGGGGGCAAGCGUUGUUCGGAAUUACUGGGCGUAAAGGGCGCGUAGGCGGCCCGCUAAGUCGAACGUGAAAUCCCCAGGCUCAACCUGGGAACUGCGUCCGAUACUGGCAGGCUUGAAUCCGGGAGAGGGAUGUGGAAUUCCAGGUGUAGCGGUGAAAUGCGUAGAUAUCUGGAGGAACACCGGUGGCGAAGGCGGCAUCCUGGACCAACACUGACGCUGAGGAGCGAAAGCCAGGGGAGCAAACGGG